rnacentral:rRNA from 1 species
GAUUAACGCUGGCGGCGUGCAUAACACAUGCAAGUCGAACGAUGAAACUUUAAUGAACCCUUCGGGGAGAAUUAAAGCGGAUUAGUGGCGAACGGGUGAGUAACGCGUGAGUAACCUGCCUUACACAAGGGGAUAGCCUUUGGAAACGAAGAAUAAUACCCUAUAAAACCAUACAAGCACAUGCAAUUAUGGUCAAAGUGAUAGCGGUGUAAGAUGGACUUGCGUCUGAUUAGCUAGUUGGUGAGAUAAAAGCCCACCAAGGCAAUGAUCAGUAGCCGGCUUGAGAGAGUGUACGGCCACAUUGGGACGGAGACACGGCCCAGACUCCUACGGGAGGCAGCAGUGGGGAAUUUUGCACAAUGGGGGAAACCCUGAUGCAGCGACGCCGCGUGAUUUAGAAGGCCUUCGGGUUGUAAAAAUCUUUUGUAUAGGAAGAAAAUGACAGUACUAUACGAAUAAGGUCCGGCUAAUUACGU